rnacentral:rRNA from 1 species
UGGGGAAUCUUAGACAAUGGGGGAAACCCUGAUCUAGACAUGCCGCGUGAUCGAUGAAGGCCUUAGGGUUGUAAAGAUCUUUCAGAUUGGAAGAUAAUGACGGUACCAUCAGAAGAAGCCCCGGCUAACUCCGUGCCAGCAGCCGCGGUAAUACGGAGGGGGCUAGCGUUAUUCGGAAUUACUGGGCGUAAAGCGCACGUAGGCGGAUUAGAAAGUCAGAGGUGAAAUCCCAGGGCUCAACCUUGGAACGGCCUUUGAAACUCCUAGUCUUGAGGUCGAGAGAGGUGAGUGGAAGUCCGAGUGUAGAGGUGAAAUUCGUAGAUAUUCGGAGGAACACCAGUGGCGAAGGCGGCUCACUGGCUCGAUACUGACGCUGAGGUGCGAAAGCGUGGGGAGCAAACA